rnacentral:rRNA from 1 species
CACACGACUCUCGGCAACGGAUAUCUCGGCUCUCGCAUCGAUGAAGAACGUAGCGAAAUGCGAUACCUGGUGUGAAUUGCAGAAUCCCGCAAACCAUCGAGUCUUUGAACGCAAGUUGCGCCCGAGGCCACUCGGCCGAGGGCACGCCUUCCUGGGCGUCACGC